GGAGAGGUUGUUUGGUUUGGAGGAAGUAUGACCGUCUUCUUUUUUCUCCUCCUACACUUUAGAGGGUCAUGACACCGAGCUCAUGCGCAGUGGAGCGAGAUGCCAUCUUUGGAGUUGAGCGGCCACUGACGGGAGGUGAAGAGCUGGCAAGGGAGAGGGCAGUGACGGAGGUGGGGAUGGUGGACCGUGGGCGCAGCGUGACAUUCAGUCCAUCCAUGCUACCGCUGUUCACACGGCUCUCAAUCUCAUCAGCCCGAAGCUCAGCUGAUUCUCGCUCUACCUGGAUCAUUCUGCAGCAAAUACCACUUUCCAACUGCUUCUAGUCAUACCUGAUCUCCUCGUUGAUGGCAUCCAAUUGCUCCUGCAACAUUAGGGCAAGCGUCUGAGCAUCCGAGUGACCACUGGGAGACAGCAUGUCCCCUGAGCUAAAGACGGUGUCACG